rnacentral:tRNA from 1 species
AAGCAAGAAACUAAUAGUAUUAUGGUUUCGGCCCAUAACAAGGUGCACCACGUCACCCUUGCUUU